UCCAGAGAGAGAGAGAGAGAGAGAGAGGGAGAGAGGGAACAAGGUCAAUGUCAAUAGCUGUAAGAAAGGGCCAAAACCCACAAUUAAAAAACUCUAUAUAUAUGACACAGUACAAGAAAAGGAAGGAGAUAGAGAGAGAGAGAGAAAGAGAGAGAGAGAGAGGAAGAGGGAGGUGCAUUUAUAUGGAUCAUGAGGAGGAGAAUCACGAGGGUUUUCCAACCAAAACAUGCAUGGCUCGCGUUACACAACAGCAACAUGUCCUUAAGGUGCUUAGCCAAACAACUCAUCAUGAGUUUUCACCUUUCUGAUCCAUCAAGCCCUCUAUCACAUGUGAUGAUUGUAUAUCUGUGUUGGUUUGAGAGGUUGAAGCUGCCAGCAUGAUCUGGUAAGAACUAGCACACCUUUUUCUUUUUUAGUCUUAUAAUUGGACCGCUAGAUUGAUGGAUCAAUCAUAUAUUUGGACAGAUCGAUGGUCCUGAUCUAUCCAUGUAGUGCAUGGGAUGUUUUUUUUACAUCAUAGAUGAUUAGGGGUAUGUGUCUACACACACAAGAUAGGAAGGCUAGGUUUAAUUAUGUCCAGUUUCUAGUGAUCAGAUUCUUUGAGUCAGCCAAAGGGCUUGGAGCAAAGUAGAUAGCUAUUUGAAUUAGAGCUUCAUAUAUAUAUAUAUAUAGAUAUAGUUCCAUCAGGUCAUCUUGCAGCUUCAAUCACUCAUGCACCAACAAUAAGAAGAACCUGGCUUGCCUUUUUCUGGAAUUACACCUUAAUUUCAUGUUUGCCAUAUCAAUCAGUGUAUACAGCUUUUAAGAAGGAAAUCAAGCAUGAGGAACACUGGAGUUCCGCCACCGACGUAAAAGAAUAGCUACAAAAGCCUUGUCUACUUUCUGUUGAAAGAAAUUAUUGCAAAAACUUUGUGGUGACAAAUACUCAUUUGUGAUGGAAAUUCAUACUGUGUUGCAAGAUCGUCACUGAAAAUGACAUUGUAGAUAUGUAUUUUAUUUUUUGAUUAGUUAGAUGUCAGAUUAUGUUAAUUUUGGGAAUAACUUGAUGUUACUUCAUAGAUAUCAAAGAAUGUAAGAAUUUUACCAGCUUGUGUUGAAAGACUGACAAAUGGUUUGAGCAUGUAAAUUUAAUUGUCAUGAACAAUUUUUUCUUAUUCUCAAUAA